AUUGAACGCUGGCGGCAGGCCUACCACAUGCAAGUCGAGCGAGCGGCGGACGGGUGAGUAAUGUAUGGGGACUGCCCGAUAGAGGGGGAUAACUACUGGAAACGGUGGCUAAUACCGCAUACUAUCGGAAAACCCAUAUGGGAUUAGCUAGUAGGUAAGGUAAUGGAUUACCUAGGCGACGAUCCCUAGCUGGUCUGAGUGGGGGAUCAGCCACAUGGGGACUGAGCCACGGCCCAGAUUCCUACGGAGGCAGCAGUGGGGAAUAUUGCACAAUGGGCGCAAGCCUGAUGCAGCCAUGCCGCGUGUAUGAAGAAGGCCCUAGGGUUGUAAAGUACUUUCAGGCGGGAUGCGUUACCGACAGAAGAAGCACCGGCUAACUCCGUGCCAGCAGCCGCGGUAAUUC
rnacentral:rRNA from 1 species